rnacentral:rRNA from 1 species
CCCUUAGAUGUUCUGGGCCGCACACGCGCUACACUGAAGGAGGCAGCGUGUACUCCUGGAUCGAAAGAUUUGGGUAACCCGCGAAUCUCCUUCGUGCUAGGGAUUGAGGUUUGCAAUUAUCCUUCAUGAACGAGGAAUUCCCAGUAAGUGCAAGUCAUAAGCUUGCGCUGACUACGUCCCUGCCCUUUGUACACACUGCCCGUCGCUACUACCGAUUGAAUGAUUUAGUGAGGACUUCGGACUGGGACCGAUGCGGCUUUCGGGCUGCGUCGGUAUUCUGGAAAGAUGUCCAAACUGUAUCAUUUAGAGGAAGUAAAAGUCGUAACA